rnacentral:rRNA from 1 species
GACGAACGCUGGCGGCGUGCUUAACACAUGCAAGUCGAACGGAAAGGCCCUGCUUUUGUGGGGUGCUCGAGUGGCGAACGGGUGAGUAACACGUGAGUAACCUGCCCUUGACUUUGGGAUAACUUCAGGAAACUGGGGCUAAUACCGGAUAGGAGCUCCUGCUGCAUGGUGGGGGUUGGAAAGUUUCGGCGGUUGGGGAUGGACUCGCGGCUUAUCAGCUUGUUGGUGGGGUAGUGGCUUACCAAGGCUUUGACGGGUAGCCGGCCUGGGAGGGUGACCGGCCACAUUGGGACUGAGAUACGGCCCAGACUCCUACGGGACGCAGCAGUGGGGAAUAUUGCACAAUGGGCGGAAGCCUGAUGCAGCAACGCCGCGUGCGGGAUGACGGCCUUCGGGUUGUAAACCGAUUUCGCCUGUGACGAAGAGUGAGUGACGGUAAUGGGUAAAGAAGCACCGGCUAACUACGUG